UAUGGUUAUUGCACCAAUAGCUCAAGGAGGGUGAGGCGAAGGCCUCCGAGGAUGUGAGCUUCCCCUGAAAAAAUUCACAGCAGAUGACCAGUGAUGCAGACCAACCUCGCCACCACUCAUGCAAGAACAUUCUAUAUUCAUGACCUUUGCUUGUGAAACCCAGUGACCACUGUGGGCUCUAGGCUUAUUUAGACAUAAGCUUGGCUUGCACUCCAAAUUCAAUGCCUUCUAGAAAUCCAAAGUACUCCUCAGAAUUUCCACCAUUUCCCUAGACACCAUGCCCUCAUGUUAUCUCUGACUUUAGCUCCUGUUCCUAUGGGUGCUGUCCUGGUUCCACGCCUCCAGAUGGUAAAAAUGUCAGCCCUUGAGAUUUCUGCAAAGGGAUCUCUUCACAGCAAGCAUGUGGUGUAUGGGAGGUUUGGAGCAGGAGUGGGCAUGUGAAGAAGACAGAGGAGAGGUCUCGGCAGCCUAUGGUAUGGUAGGCAGCCCCAUCUGUAGAGUCCCUGAUCUUGGGGGCACCAGUGGCCUCCAUCUCAUCCAGUCCUGGCUUCCUUUGCACGUGUUGCUGCUCUCUUUCUGUCUCUUCCUUUCCUUCCCCUCUCUCCACCCCCUUUGCUGCAAAGACUCCUGACUCACGCAAGAGUUCAGCCCUAUCUGCAGAUCUCACCUUACUCAAAGGGGCUUAUCAGGCCAGUGGUGAGGGAGUGUGGUCUGUACAACCACAGGAAGCGGGUUGGCCUGUUGGAGCAUGAGCUCUUUUUUUGCUUUGUAGAUCUUGGUAUUUGUUCUUCUUGGAUUUUCUAGUGCUUUCUGGAAACUCUGCUUUCUCAGGCUGUAGGAAUGGGAAUUCAGGGCAUGUCCCAAUGUGGGAGCAAUGAAGGAAGCAUAGACAGAGAGAUAUGUGAUGUGCGUGAGAAAGGACAAUUUUUAAAAUUUUUAAUGAGAACAAAUUUCUUGGAAAAGAUAAUCUAAACAAAAGGAAAAAAAAUCCAAGUUAUAAGAAGAGUAUACAGUGAAAAGCAAGCCUUCCUCCCCACUUUCAGUCCCUUAGUUCUUGUUCCUAAAAUAGCCACUGUCACCAGCUUCUUAUUGAUCUUUUGGGAAAUGUUUUAUGUGUAUAUAAACAGAAAUGUAUAUGUAUUCUCCCCCAAUAAAAAAAAUAAAUGAUAGGCUGGACGCUGUUGCUCACGCCUAUAAUCCCAGCACUUUGGGAGACUGAGGUGGGUGGAUCAUUUGAGAUCAGGAAUUCGAGACCAGCUUGGCCAACAUGAUGAAACCCCGUUUCUACUAAAAAUACAAAAAUUAGCUGUGCAUGGUGGCGGGUGCCUGUAAUUCCAGCUACUCGAGAGGCUGAGGCAGUAGAAUCGCUUGAACCUGGGACGUGGAGGUUACAGUGAGCUGAGAUUGCGUCACUGCACUGCAGCCUGGGCGACAGAGUGAGACUCUGUCUCACAAAAACAAACAAACAAACAAACAAUAAAUAAAUGG
rnacentral:lncRNA from 10 species